rnacentral:rRNA from 1 species
GACGAACGCUGGCGGCGUGCCUAAUACAUGCAAGUCGAACGCAGUGGGGACGGGUGAGUAACACGUGGGUAACCUCCCAUCAGAGGGGAUAACACUUGGAAACAGGUGCUAAACCGAUACUGAUGGAUGGAACCGCGUUGCAUUAGCUAGUUGGUGAGGUACCGGCUCACCAAGGCCACGAUGCAUCGUCGCCCUAGGAGGGUGAUCGACCAGACUGGGACUGGGAAAGGGCCCGGACUCCUACGGGAGGAAGAAGUAGGGAAUCUUCGGCAAUGGACGAAAGUUUAACCGAGCAACGACGCAUGAGUGAAGAGGGUUUUCGGAUCGUAAAACUCUGUUGUUAGAGAAGCGGUAUCUAACCAGAAAGCCACGGCUAACUACGUGCCAGCAGCCGCGGUAAUAC